rnacentral:rRNA from 1 species
GCGUCGUGCGACAGCUCGGUCCCAUCUCCGGUCAUCUCCGGUGUAGGCGUCAGCGUACUCAGAGGAGAUCUUCUCAGUACGAGAGGAGCGGGAGAGGUUGGCCUCUGGUGUGGCAGCUGUCGUGCCAACGGCAGAGGGAUGGGUACCCUGACGGUGGGGUCCUCACCACUGAAGGCAUCU